CAAUAGCGUAUAUUAAAGUUGUUGCAGUUAAAAAGCUCGUAGUUGGAUUUCUGGUGGGAGCGAUCGGUCUGGCGCUUAGCGCGAGUACUUGCAUCGUCUCCGGCCAUCCUUGGAGAGAGUCUGUCUGGCAUUAGGUUGUCGGGCAGAGGAUCCUCAUCGUUUACUGUGAAAAAAUUAGAGUGUUCAAAGCAGGCUUAUGCCGUUGAAUAUAUUAGCAUGGAAUAAUAAGAUAGGACUUUGGUACUAUUUUGUUGGUUUGCGCACCAAAGUAAUGAUUAAUAGGGACAGUUGGGGGUAUUCGUAUUCCGUUGUCAGAGGUGAAAUUCUUGGAUUUACGGAAGACGAACUACUGCGAAAGCAUUUACCAAGGAUGUUUUCAUUAA
rnacentral:rRNA from 1 species